UGCGGGAUGGAGCAGUUCGGAGUGCUCGCGGGCCUCAUAAGCCCGAGGUCGCCGGUUCGAAUCCGGCUCCCGCUCCC
rnacentral:tRNA from 1 species